AUUGAACGCUGGCGGCAGGCUUAACACAUGUAAGUCGAGCGGAGAUGAGGUGCUUGCACCUUAUCUUAGCGGCGGACGGGUGAGUAAUGCUUAGGAAUCUGCCUAUUAGUGGGGGACAACAUUCCGAAAGGAAUGCUAAUACCGCAUACGUCCUACGGGAGAAAGCAGGGGAUCUUCGGACCUUGCGCUAAUAGACGAGCCUAAGUCGGAUUAGCUAGUUGGUGGGGUAAAGGCCUACCAAGGCGACGAUCUGUAGCGGGUCUGAGAGGAUGAUCCGCCACACUGGGACUGAGACACGGCCCAGACUCCUACGGGAGGCAGCAGUGGGGAAUAUUGGACAAUGGGGGGAACCCUGAUCCAGCCAUGCCGCGUGUGUGAAGAAGGCCUUAUGGUUGUAAAGCACUUUAAGCGAGGAGGAGGCUACUGAGACUAAUACUCUUGGAUAGUGGACGUUACUCGCAGAAUAAGCACCGGCUAACUCUGUGCCAGCAGCCGCCGUAA
rnacentral:rRNA from 1 species